AACACCUCAAAUCCCUCUACUUGUUGGAGGAGUUUGGACUUGAGCAAUCCCAACUUUUCGAAAGAGAAGGCGGGUUGCUUGAAAUGCAGGUGCAGCUAGAUUCUUUCUUCUGAGCUAUAAGCAUACUUAUUUAAUCCCGUCAAACGGAUUAUUACUUUUGCUGCAGCUAACAUAAAGGUUGAAGAGUCGCUAUGGCUGACUGAUGCAGGAUUAACAUAUCGCGCAAGCGAUCUGUAA
rnacentral:misc_RNA from 1 species